rnacentral:rRNA from 1 species
CGCCUGUUUAUCAAAAACAUGUCUUUUUGAUUAUUAUUUAAAGUCUGGCCUGCUCAAUGAUUAUUUAAAUAGCUGCAGUAUCUUGACUGUACAAAGGUAGCAUAAUCAUUAGUUUUUUAAUUGAAAGCUGGAAUGAAUGGCUGAAUAAGGAAAUAACUGUCUCUUUUUAAUUAAAUUGAAUUUUAUCUUUAAGUUAAAAAGCUUAAAUUUUAUAUAAAGACGAGAAGACCCUAUAGAGUUUAAUAGAUUAUACACUUGUAAUUUAGGUUUUUAUUAUAUAAGGGUUUAAGUUUAUUUUAUUGGGGUGAUACUGGAAUUUAAUUAACUUCUUUUUUAUAAUCAUUGAUUUGUGAAUAAAUGAUCCUAAUUUUUAGAUUAAAAGAUUAAAUUACCUUAGGGAUAACAGCGUAAUUCUUUUGGAGAGUUCUUAUCGAUAAAAGAGAUUGCGACCUCGAUGUUGGAUUAAAGUUUAAUUUUGGUGUAGAAGCUAAAAUUUUAAGUCUGUUCGACUUUUAAAACUUUACGUGAUCUGAGUUUAGACCGG